GACGAACGCUGGCGGCGUGCUUAACACAUGCAAGUCGAACGAAGUGGCGAACGGGUGAGUAACGCGUAAUCAACCUGCCCUUCAGAGGGGGAUAACAGUUGGAAACGACUGCUAAUACCGCAUACUGAAGGAGGGGAUUGCGUCGGAUUGGCUAGGUGGGGGGGUAAUGGCCUACCAAGGCGAUGAUCAGUAGUCGGGCUGGGAGGGUGGACCGCCAAAAUGGGAAUGGGACACGGGCCAAGCUCCUACGGGAGGGAAGAGGGGGGGAUCUUUCGAAAAGGGCGAAAGUCUGACGGAGCAACGCCGGGGGAGUGAAGACGGGCUUCGGGUUGUAAAGCUCUGUUAAUCGGGGCGCGGUACCGGAAGAGAAAGCCACGGCUAACUACGUGCCAGCAGCCGCGGUAAUAC
rnacentral:rRNA from 1 species